GCGCGUCUACCGCCGAAACGCUUCGGGGAGCUGGAAGUAAGCAUUGAUCCGGAGGUACCCGAAUGAGGAAACUCUUAAUACUACCUGCUCAAUCUAUAGGCAGGUAAGAGCGAACCUGGUGAAUUGAAACAUCUUAGUAACCAGAGGAAAAGAAAGCAAAAGCGAUUCCCAUAGUAGCGGCGAGCGAAAAGGGACCAGCCC
rnacentral:rRNA from 1 species